rnacentral:tRNA from 1 species
CCCUCAUAGCUCAGUUGGUAAAGAAUCUGCCUGCAAUGCAGGAGACCCUGGUUCGAUUCCUGAAUGAGGAA